CCCUACUCAAAAUAAUUUCUAGGUCCGCCACUGGUAUCACAACAAAGAAGCCGACUUCAUUUGCUUUAUUCAGUUGAGCACAGCCUAUGGUUUUGUAAAGAAACACCCGGCCAUCGUCCACAAUAUUCGUACUAAUGUAUGGGCCAUCACACAACUGCAAACAUAAAAACUGUUACACUGCAGGUAGCAUGCAUAAAUAAGCCAGGCAAGUUGAUCUGUGCAUAAAUUUGGAACUUACGAUACUGCAAUACUGCAUAUGUCAUCCAAAUACAAUUCUGCUUUGAUCAUGUCCAACUGAAAGAAAGACACGCCCCUUGUUUCUGCAAAAACCAACAGAGACGUGCCAUCGGUAUUUAAUUUUCCGUACACUAUAUAUUAAGCAUGAUCAAGUCCAACACAGCCAGAAGAAUUAAACCUAGCGGGAUUUUGUAUUGAGUGUUGUGCAUUAUAUUUUUACUGCGAACAGAAAUGUGUGCGACGAGAAAGGGUCUGAUAGUGGCAGCGAGCCUGGGAGCAGUAGAGGGCUUGAAGGACCAAGGCUUAUGCAGAUGGAAUAACACAUUCCGGUCUGUUCAGCAUUGUACCAAAAACAACAUAAAAGAGUCCUGUUGUUCGAAGUUGGCAAUGAUGUCAAGAAGAACAUGUGAGCAAGCUGAAGAAGUCGAAGAUUCCAUGAGGAAAGUCAUGUACUUGAGCUGUUGGGGUUCUAAUUGAUCGUUAUUUAGACUAAGUAUUAGUUUUGAGAAACUAGUGUUUAGCGUUUUGUAAUUUUAAUCAUGUUAUUAUAAUUUUGUGCAUUGGUACGAUUUUUUACGAUUUGUAUUUGUCCCAGCUCGUCAG
rnacentral:lncRNA from 1 species